rnacentral:lncRNA from 1 species
GAGGGCAGACAAUCCUUGUCCUAGUUUGAUGUAUCAGAUCCAGUGAGAACAUUAAAUCUUGGACCAAUUAUUUGUCAAAUUGUGAGCCUCUUCUAAAAACUUUUCUUCAACAACUUUCAUUAACUACGCUUGCAUCGUCCGUUGUUGAUUUUUGCUACAGUGGGAAUUGGAAUAUAGAACAUUUGGUCCAUUUCCUUUCUAAAGUAACUGUGGAUAAAAUUGUCAAUAUUCUUGUGAAUAAUAUUGGUGGCUUGUCUAUCAAGUGUAUGUAGGGACCAACUAGUGAUGGUAACUUUACUAAGAAGUCUGCCUAUGUGUUGGAUUUAGGUACUAAUAUAAACACUAAGUGGCAAUGGAGUUUUAUCCAGGAGUUGCAUCUUCCUCCUAAAGUGCUCUCUUUUAUUUGACUUUUAUUGCUAGACAAAUUAUUGACCAAUGAACAACGAGUUAGAAGGGGGUUGGCUACGAAUCCUUCGAGCGACAGAUGUGAUGGUGCAUUUGAAUCACUUAGUCAUGUCUAGAGAAGUUUACAAAUUAGAGAACGAAUUACUAAAAUGGGAAGAAGAAGCAUAGAGGGAAGAGAAAAUAAAAGAUAGGAGAAACUGAAGUAGCAGUGAAAAGAAUGAGAAAGUAAAGACUUGUCUCAUGGAAAAAAAAAAAGAGAAAACUCUCAACAAGAAUAAAUAGAGUUUCCUUAAGAUAGUGAACUAUGCAGAGUGAACUAUGCAUGGGAAACUAGGAGAGGCAUCAUCACAUUGUCCUUAGUUAGCAGGCGGGAAGGGAAAAGUCUCAUCAAGCAGACGUGUUUUGGGUUGUCCGUCAGAGAUUGAUUUUUUGGCCCAAUUCGAUUGUCUCGCAAUUCAAAAAAUAAAAGGGCUAAUGUGAGGGCCAUUAAAAUUCACUUAUAAGCCUCAUAAUACCUCGAAGCCCUAGCUGUCCUUUUCCUUUGUAAACCAAAUAGGACACUUAAGAAACAACCAAAACCUAAAGCUAGGCUGAUCAAAUCCAAAAUGAGAUCACGUUUUAACUAGAGCAGCGCACCUAAUUAUUAGAUAAAGAACAUUUCCCUUCCAAGCUCAUACAGGAAAACGAGAGAGAAACAAGGAAGAGCUUUGCUAACGAUGGAGUCGUUUGUGGAACUUGGUGUAGGAAGAAGAAACUUUGUGCAAUUUGCUCAACCUAGGCUUCCCGAGGCUACUUGACACACCCCGACCUAAAUCAGGGCAUACUGGCCGUCACAUGAACGUGACGUAACCAUGUGCACAGUGCGGAAGCAAUAAGAAUAUAAAGAAAUACGAGUGAAUAAAAACCAAAUUACUAGCAGUACAGACUAAGAUAAGGUGCUAGUGCGAGAUUAAGUGUGAAAUACACAACCAUAGCAUAAAUAGUCUAAGUGCAGUCAAGCAGGACAAGCACUAAUUAAACGACACCCAAAGGUGAUCCUACAUUUAUAAUGUUCUGUUAGAACCACCGUCGAAAUCCCUGAGAGCCACCCAAGCCUGCUACCUAAAACCUAGAGGGGCGCAAAACAGAAAGUGUGAGUGGGCAAAAACAAAGCUUUUCAAAAUCAUUUCAUUUCUAAAAAAAGUUCUAACUCUUCGCCGUAUAAUUUCCCAGAAAGUAUAAUAUAUGCUAUUUCAAAAAUCAUGCUCAAGAUGAAAAUCCAUAGAAAUAUACCAUGUCAAAGUAUCACAAUAAAAUGCUAUAAGUAAUCCAAUUCACAUAUAUCAAUGCUAGAUAUCAUAUCAAUUGAAAUCCGCCUAACGUGCCCUGCACGACUGAGUCUAUAACUCAUAAUCAAUCUCAAUCAUAUUAAAUUCUGCACACGAGUCAGAACCACCUAAAGUGGUCUGUAUGACAAGACUAGGUGUAAAAUAAAUAUGCUCUAGUGCUACGAUCAUGUGAAGGCUAUGCGAACGAUCGUGGGUCAUCUACUAGUCGGAACCACCUAUAAUGGUCUGUACGACAAGCCUGUGUACCUAAUUUGGAUCUAAGGUGAGCAUAUGGUACGGGAGGUGAACAUCACAUGAAGAACUGUGCCCUAACUCUGGGCGGGAGCACUAACACUGGGGUACAGGUUUAUGAGCUCUCAAUACAUCUCACAUAACUAAGGCAAUCUUAUACCUUUAAUUUAUGAACUUACCUGGCACUUACCAGUGUGUUCGCAACACUAAUCAUAAUAUGCAACUACUAAUGCAUAAAUAAAAUAGGCAGAUACUUUGAAUGGCAUUUUAAAAUGCAUAAUCAUUCAAAUUCAUUUUUUGGGAAAA